UUGCAGUCGGUGCUUUUUAUUCGUGUAAAAAGGUAAAAGUGAAGCGUGUGGGAAUCAUGCACGAACUCGUCACUGUAAUUGCGGAGUUCAGAGCUUUUCAUGUCACUGAGAAAUCGGGAAGGCUUGCUCUGAAUGAUGAUGCAUAAGUCAGGAAACCUGCCGUCUGUUGU
rnacentral:ncRNA from 1 species